rnacentral:misc_RNA from 1 species
CUACGAUCUAUGACAACUCCUUACUCUCUACUCUCGCACCCAUGGCUCAACAUAAACACAACCCUUACCUGACCUCAUAGCUCACUCAAUCGGCAUCGUGAGCCCAAACCCUCACUCUCCAGCAAGCCCGAAUCCCUCGCUCAUGCUGUUGCCAUUCCUGUAUGAUUCCUCAAUGGGUGGAUAGUCAUGUCGCUUCGUAUCAGUCAUGUGAUUCCAAUAUGGGUUUUACAAUUCAUGGUUUUGGAUUCAUGAGUCACUAACUGAGACACAUCUUCAACCUAACUCAGGUUCUUCAUUACGCCUAGUUCUGAGUUCAUGGGUUGGUGACUGCAAUUCUGGGUUCAUCAAUGG